AGUAACACGUGGGGAACCUGCCCCUAAGUCUGGGAUACCACUUGGAAACAGGUGCUAAUACCGGAUAAUAAAGCAGAUCGCAUGAUCAGCUUUUGAAAGGCGGCGUAAGCUGUCGCUAAGGGAUGGCCCCGCGGUGCAUUAGCUAGUUGGUAAGGUAACGGCUUACCAAGGCGACGAUGCAUAGCCGAGUUGAGAGACUGAUCGGCCACAUUGGGACUGAGACACGGCCCAAACUCCUACGGGAGGCAGCAGGC
rnacentral:rRNA from 1 species